rnacentral:rRNA from 1 species
UACAGAGGGUGCAAGCGUUGUUCGGAAUUAUUGGGCGUAAAGGGAGUGUAGGCUGUUCGGUAAGUCUUCUGUGAAAUCUACGGGCUUAGCCUGUAAAGUGCAGAGGAAACUACCGGGCUUGAGUGUCGGAGAGGAUAGGGGAAUACCCGGUGUAGAGGUGAAAUUCGUAGAGAUCGGGUGGAACACCAGUGGCGAAGGCGCCUAUCUGGCUGACAACUGACGCUGAGACUCGAAAGCAUGGGGAGCAAACAGG